UAGAAGAAAAGACGUAUGGUUCUGGGAGC
rnacentral:piRNA from 1 species